rnacentral:rRNA from 1 species
AACGAACGCUGGCGGCAUGCCUAACACAUGCAAGUCGAACGAGACCUUCGGGUUUAGUGGCGCACGGGUGCGUAACGCGUGGGAAUCUGCCCUUGGGUUCGGAAUAACUUCGGGAAACUGAAGCUAAUACCGGAUGAUGACGUAAGUCCAAAGAUUUAUCGCCCAAGGAUGAGCUCGCGUAGGAUUAGCUAGUUGGUGGGGUAAAGGCCUACCAAGGCGACGAUCUUUAGCUGGUCUGAGAGGAUGAUCAGCCACACUGGGACUGAGACACGGCCCAGACUCCUACGGGAGGCAGCAGUGGGGAAUAUUGGACAAUGGGCGAAAGCCUGAUCCAGCAAUGCCGCGUGAGUGAUGAAGCUUAGGUUGUAAGCUCUUUGUUCCGGGAAGAUAAUAGACUGUACCGGAAGAA